rnacentral:lncRNA from 1 species
AGUAAAUAGCUUAAGUAUUUAAAAAGAUGGAUUUAAAGAGCAAUUAGACCCAAAGGUUAAUGGCUGGACGGUUUGGGUAUGAAAUAAGCAAGAAAACAAUGUGAACAAGGGGCAAAAUUGGAAAUAGCAUAAAAGUUAAUAGUUAAAUAAUGAUGUAAUUGAAAAAUCUAGACAUUUUCUUCAUAUUUUCUCAGCCAAAACGCCAUAGAAGGUAUGGAGAAAGCUGGUUUUUCAUAUUUUUACAUCG